rnacentral:tRNA from 1 species
CGCGGGAUAGGGCAGCCCGGUAGCCCGCCAGGUUCAUACCCUGGAGGUCGGCGGUUCGAAUCCGCCUCCCGCAA